rnacentral:rRNA from 1 species
AGAGUUUGAUCCUGGCUCAGGACGAACGCUGGCGGCGCGCCUAACACAUGCAAGUCGAACGAGCGAGAGAGAGCUUGCUUUCUCGAGCGAGUGGCGAACGGGUGAGUAACGCGUGAGGAACCUGCCUCAAAGAGGGGGACAACAGUUGGAAACGACUGCUAAUACCGCAUAAGCCCACGGCUCGGCAUCGAGCAGAGGGAAAAGGAGUAAUCCGCUUUGAGAUGGCCUCGCGUCCGAUUAGCUAAUUGGUGAGGUAAUGGCCCACCAAGGCGACGAUCGGUAGCCGGACUGAGAGGUUGAACGGCCACAUUGGGACUGAGACACGGCCCAGACUCCUACGGGAGGCAGCAGUGGGGAAUAUUGCACAAUGGGGGAAACCCUGAUGCAGCGACGCCGCGUGGAGGAAGAAGGUCUUCGGAUUGUAAACUCCUGUUGUUGGGGAAGAUAAUGACGGUACCCAACAAGGAAGUGACGGCUAACUACGUGCCAGCAGCCGCGGUAAAACGUAGGUCACAAGCGUUGUCCGGAAUUACUGGGUGUAAAGGGAGCGCAGGCGGGAAGACAAGUUGGAAGUGAAAUCUAUGGGCUCAACCCAUAAACUGCUUUCAAAACUGUUUUUCUUGAGUAGUGCAGAGGUAGGCGGAAUUCCCGGUGUAGCGGUGGAAUGCGUAGAUAUCGGGAGGAACACCAGUGGCGAAGGCGGCCUACUGGGCACCAACUGACGCUGAGGCUCGAAAGUGUGGGUAGCAAACAGGAUUAGAUACCCUGGUAGUCCACACCGUAAACGAUGAUUACUAGGUGUUGGAGGAUUGACCCCUUCAGUGCCGCAGUUAACACAAUAAGUAAUCCACCUGGGGAGUACGACCGCAAGGUUGAAAC